UACAGAGGUCUCAAGCGUUGUUCGGAUUCAUUGGGCGUAAAGGGUGCGUAGGUGGCGCUGUAAGUCGGGUGUGAAAUUUCGGAGCUUAACUCCGAAACUGCAUUCGAUACUGCGGUGCUUGAGGACUGGAGAGGAGACUGGAAUUCAUGGUGUGGCAGUGAAAUGCGUAGAGAUCAUGAGGAAGACCAGUGGCGAAGGCGGGUCUCUGGACAGUUCCUGACACUGAGGCACGAAGGCCAGGGGAGCAAACAGG
rnacentral:rRNA from 1 species